rnacentral:rRNA from 1 species
CCUACGGGAGGCAGCAGUGGGGAAUAUUGGACAAUGGGGGAAACCCUGAUCCAGCGACGCCGCGUGAGUGAAGAAGUAUUUCGGUACGUAAAGCUCUAUCAGCAGGAAAGAAAAUGACGGUACCUGACUAAGAAGCCCCGGCUAACUACGUGCCAGCAGCCGCGGUAAUACGUAGGGGGCAAGCGUUAUCCGGAUUUACUGGGUGUAAAGGGAUCGUAGACGGCAGCGCAAGUCUGGAGGUAAAUGCCGGGGGCCAACCCCGGAACUGCUCUGGAAACUGUGAAGCUGGAGUGCAGGAGAGGUAAGCGGAAUUCCUGGUGUAGCGGUGAAAUGCGUAGAUAUCAGGAGGAACACCGUCGGCGAAGGCGGCUUACUGGACUGUAACUGACGUUGAGGCUCGAAGGCGUGGGGAGCAAACAGGAUUAGAUACCCUUGUAGUC